rnacentral:rRNA from 1 species
GAUGAACGCUGGCGGCGUGCUUAACACAUGCAAGUCGAACGGGAUCCAAGGGGUGCUUGCACUUUUUGGUGAGAGUGGCGAACGGGUGAGUAACACGUGAGUAACCUGUCCUUUUCUUUGGGAUAAGCAUUCGAAAGGGUGUUUAAUACCUUAUGUUCUGUCUGCCUCGCAUGGGGUGGGUGGGAAAGGCUUUGGCCGGAUUUGGGUGGGCUCGCGGUCUAUCAGCUUGUUGGUGGGGUGAUGGCUUACCAAGGCUUUGACGGGUAGCCGGCCUGAGAGGGUGGUCGGGCACAUUGGGACUGAGAUACGGCCCAGACUCCUGCGGGAGGCAGCAGUGGGGGAUAGUGCACAAUGGGCGAAAGCCUGAUGCAGCGACGCCGCGUGGGGGAUGAAGGCCUUCGGGUUGUAAACUUCUUUUGCUCUGAACAAGGCAUGCCAGUGGGUGUGUUGAGUGUAGGGGUUGAUUAGCGCCGGCUAACUACGUG